CCCCUCCCUUCGGCCCCGAACCUCCUCGCCGGCGGCCGGUCGCGCUCCGCCGCGACCGGUCGGUGGGCGGGCCGGCCUCGGGGGGCGGGUCAGCCCCAGCCGAGACCCGUUCCACGCGCCGGGCGCGUGACUCGAGCGCGAGGCCGAGUCUCGAACGCGGUGUCGCGGCCCCAGCCCCCCCCCCACCUCCUUCCUCGAGACCGAGACAGAGAGAGAGAGAGAGAAGAGGGCAGGAAGGGGGAAAAAGGGGGGGGCUCCCCGCGUCGUCCGAAGCCGAAGCUGCGCAGCGGUCCCGGCUCCUUGCCCGCGGCGUCGCGGGAAGGGCCGGCCGCCGGGGUCGGCCGUUGCCGCGGGGCGUCCCGCCUCUCCCGCCCGGCGGGCGGAGGCGGUUAGCCCCGCGCCUGCGCGGUGCCGUUCCCCGCCCCAGGCGCCGCCGGGCGCGCCACGUCGCCGGCCGCCGCCGCCGCCGGCGCCCGUCGCCGCCACGCCGCCGCCGCCGGCACGUCCGUGAUGCCGCUCCCGCGGGUCGGAGCGGUGAAAGAGCCGGGGCGGUCAGGGGUUGGCGGAGGCGGUCCGCCGGCGGGGGGUCCGGGCGUCCGCGCGCCGGUGCGCGUUACGGUGGCGCCGCCGUGGGUGGCGGC
rnacentral:misc_RNA from 1 species